rnacentral:tRNA from 1 species
UAAGAUUUUAAGUUAUAAAAACUAUUAACCUUCAAAGUUUAAAAAAUUAAUUUAAUAAAUCUUAG